CCUACGGGUGGCAGCAGUGGGGAAUAUUGCACAAUGGGGGAAACCCUGAUGCAGCGACGCCGCGUGAGUGAAGAAGUAUUUAGGUAUGUAAAGCUCUAUCAGCAGGGAAGAAAAUGACGGUACAUGAUUAAGAAGCCCCGGCUAACUAAGUGCCAGCAUCAGCGGUAAUACGGAGGGGGCAAGCGUUAUCCGGAUUUACUGGGUGUAAAGGGGGCGUAGACGGCAGCACCAGUCUGGAGUGAAAUGCCCGGGCUUAACCCCGGAACUGCUUUGGAAACUGUGCAGCUAGAGUGCAGGAGAGGUAAGUGGAAUUCCUAGUGUAGCGGUGAAAUGCGUAGAUAUUAGGAGGAACACCAGUGACGAAGGCGGCUUACUGGACUGUAACUGACGUUGAGGCUCGAAAGCGUGGGGAGCAAACAGGAUUAGAUACCCUUGUAGUC
rnacentral:rRNA from 1 species